CAUUUUCUGCAAUUUGCUUCUCUGAAAUUUGCUGGGCAUUUUACUGGCCAAGACGUGUUUGCUUUAAUCCCUCAGAAUUGAAGAUGAGGUAGUUUCUUCAGCCAGUGAGAAGGAGUAUCUGAUAGAUAAUCUUCCCAAAUCAGGUGCUGGUGCUGGCCGGGUAGGAGGUGGCAGCAGCGCACAGGUGCUUGAGGCCCUUCACCAUGAACGGCCUAUCCUCCUCCGCGCUCGUGUCUUUGGCCAGGUCCAGAUGAGGACGAUGUCUUGUUUUUAGAUAAGUUGAUAACUUCUGCAGCCUUGGACACAGAUAAACUAGAGAUUUGUC